UAAUCCAGCAUUGGGUGGUUUGGCCUGGCCGAAAUCCCCAAAAGCCAUACGUCAGUAGAUGAAUGUAGAUCUACGUUGCAGCGGCCCACGUGCGAAGCGCCCACUCCAGUGACAAUGGCGUCCUCAGGCUAAAAGUUUGUCUCCAGGUUAUCGUCUCGGUUACAGCCCUUCGCCUUUAAAAUCAAUAGCGAGUCGUUUUCUCCACUCACGUCGCUCUGCUUCCGCUCUCAGCUCCCUCUUUCUGCAAGACGCCUCUCUUGAAUCUCCAGAUUACCGCUGGAAUUGAGUUGCAUGGGAUCGAUGAUGCCAUUGCACAGCGCGAUAGCUUCAGCAACAUUAAUAUCGAGCUUGUCCAGUGAGUCUGAUGGUUGGGCUUUAGUGCCUCAAGGUAUAUCAAUGCCUUUAUGACAGUCUCCUUUGCCGCAACUUUUGGUUGGGGAGGUGGAAAAGAAUAUAGGAUUUUUUUUUUUGGGUUCUGAUUUCAAAACCUAAGAUUUGAAAAUGAUCAUUGACUUAGGUGACAGUGACACUGGUUAGGACUUGAUUCCUUCUGUUCAUGUUCAUCAUCUUCAUUUUACUCAACACCUCUUUUGUAAUGUCAAUAUCCUGGAGGUUGGAUAAAUUUAUGUUCAGUCAUGAUGAAGUAUUAUGCAUAUGCUUUUAUAAUAGCUGCAGGUUUUCAUUUCCCAAGCCAGUUAGACAAAGUUUAGAGCAUCUACUUUAUUUUCUACAAUAUGAGAAGGCCUUUAUCUCUUCCUUUGCAUGACUCCUUUUUCCACUUGAAGCUCAUAAUAAAGUCCAAGCUAGAUUUUCUCAGGUUGGUUGGCUUGGCUCUACUUACACUCAGGAUUGCUAUUGAUCUGAAUUCAAUCUUGCCAUUGAACAAUGAUUUUGGUACCCAGUCCAGCCUAUAUACUGGUUGCCCUCCAAAAACAGUGGGAGAAUUGGGGAUGGGGAUCGGGGGGGAAGGGGAUCUCAUUUGACUUUGUUAUUAGCAUCAUGUAUUUUCCCUUGGCAUUGCGUUUAAUCUGGCAUAGCAUCCCAUGAAAUGCAGUCUUGAGUUAUUGACAUUCCUUGAGAAGGUUCUCUACUUACAACUUGAUGUGCACAAGUGAAGAGGCCCUUUUUACCUCUUGUUGGAAGUCAGAGCCUACCCUUGUGAUGUUCUCUGAUACCGGUGGUAUUGUAGAUGAUUGACACAUGGAUAGUGUCAGGUUAGGUAUAUCUACGGUAGUGGGAAUACGGGUAAGUAUUUGGUUAAAAAUGUGUUUUAAAAACGUGUGUAACGCCUUCAUUUUAGAUAGUCUGUACGUUCUACUGUUCCGAUGACUAAUGUCUGUCCGAACAGCCAGAAUGUCUGGAACUACACUUAAACUAGGGUGAGGAGACAUAAAUUGACUAAACAAAGAUCAAGUAAAAUCAAGAAAAAAUAAAAGAAGCGAAGUGAAACUCGGUUAAAGGAACCGGAGUCAUGGCAAUGGGUAACCACGACCGGAAGCGACUGUUAUGACAGUUGCUAAUCCCAAACUCAUAAGAAACCCUGUAAGAUAAAUAUUGAAACUUAAUCGAAGGAGUUAUGAAGUCUAAAUGACAAUAAAAAUGCGAAAGAAAAUCUAGGAAAAUUAAGCCAAUCGAUAAGGACAGUUGUAACUCGAUAAGUUCAACGAAAGGCAUUUUGAUCAUUUCACCCUCAGGGUUGAAUUUUGACCUAAAUGCCAAGUGAAAAAAGAGAGAAUAAAAUAUUAAAAAAUAAAUUAAAAUUAUGAUUUAUGAAAUGGAAAAAGGGAAAAGAAAAGGAAAAGAAAGAAAUAAAAAAAUUAAAUGAAUUAUGAUAUAAGUAUGAUAUAAGAUGACAUAAUUAAAAAUUUUAAACCAAUUAUAUUUAAACAUAUAUAUAUUAGAGACAAAGAAAUUAAUUUAGCCUAAUCACUUUUCUUCUUCUUCUUCUUCUUUUUAGCUUGGCCGACUUCCAUGAGAGAGAGAGAGCUCCCUCCAUUAUCAAGCUCCCAAGCUUGAUUUCUCCUCCUUUUCCACCCCAAAACCCAUACCUCUCUUCACUAAAAAUUGUCUCCACACCUUGAGGAAGAUAGUGGCAACCAAGAAGUGAAGGAAACUUGAAGUUUUACAAGAUCACACUUGGCUCCAAAGAGGUUAGUGCACUAUACAUACCCUUACUCUUCUUUAAUUAGUGUAAGCAUUCUAAAUUAGCUUGAAAUUUCAUGAAAUCAAAAGAAAACCAUUAAUAAGUAGGAACCCUAAAAUUUGGCAGCCAUGAAUUGAGUUGAGGUUUGAUAAAAUUAAUUGAGUUUAUUAGUGUUAUUAAUGAGUAUAUAUGAUAAUUAAAUUGAUUGGCAUGUAUUUGCAAGAGAUUGUGAAUUUGAGUUAGGGUUUUUGACCUAACUUUGGGGAAAUUUGUGUAUGACUUGAAAUUGACGAUGUUGAGACCAAUUUGUUGACUAUUAGAAGUGCUAUAAAUGUGAAUUAAAAUUUGAAAGUUGGGUGGAUUUGAAAUUGGGAGUG